UACGUAGGGUGCAAGCGUUUGUCCGGAAUUAUUGGGCGUAAAGAGCUCGUAGGCGGUUCGACAAGCCGACGGUGAAAUCUCCACGCUCAACGUGGAGGGGUCCGUCGGAACUGUCGUGACUCGAGUCCGGUAGGGGAGUGUGGAAUUCCCGGUGUAGCGGUGAAAUGCGCAGAUAUCGGGAGGAACACCAGUAGCGAAAGCGGCACUCUGGGCCGGUACUGACGCUGAGGAGCGAAAGCGUGGGGAGCGAACAGG
rnacentral:rRNA from 1 species